GACGAACGCGGCGGCGUGCUUAACACAUGCAAGUCGAACGGAGCGAAUGAAAGCUUGCUUUUAUGAGCUUAGUGGCAAACGGGUGAGUAACACGUAGACAACCUGCCGAUCAGAUGGGGACAACAUUCCGAAAGGAAUGCUAAUACCGAAUGGUGUGCGGGGGAGGCAUCUCCCCCGCAUGAAAGAUGGCCUAUACAUGUAAGCUAUCACUGAUUGAUGGGUCUGCGUCUGAUUAGCUGGUAGGUAAGGUAACGGCUUACCUAGGCGACGAUCAGUAGCCGGUCUGAGAGGAUGAACGGCCACAUUGGGACUGAGACACGGCCCAGACUCCUACGGGAGGCAGCAGUGGGGAAUCUUCCGCAAUGGGCGCAAGCCUGACGGAGCAACGCCGCGUGAGUGAAGAAGGUUUUCGGAU
rnacentral:rRNA from 1 species